UACCACAUACAUAUGCACUAUAGGAAAUAAAAUAGAUGACUAAAAAUUGUUGGUGUCAGAUAAGGAAUGACAAGGAUCCAUGCUAUAUGAAACAAUACAUAAUGUGUUUCAAAGAAUCUGAAAUGCACAAAUACAUAUUUUGAAAAAAAUUAAAUGUUCUAUUCAACAUCGCUGAAAUAGUAUAGGACUCCAGUCUGAUCCACAACCUAUGAAUACUAAAUGUUACUCUAACCCCAACACCAACCCUUAAAUACUAAACCCUAAACACUAAUCACUAAACCCUAAAUC
rnacentral:lncRNA from 1 species